CUGGUUUCUCCAUUGUGAAGAAAUGGCCUUUAACUGUUGGGAGUCUUGGGAUGCUAGAGUCCUGGGUUAGAACAAGGGGAGGUAUAGUGGGUUUAGUUCUCUGUUUUCAAGACACUUGGGAUCUGUCUUUGGGUGGAAAGAUCAUGACCCCAAAACAAGCUCCAGACGCAGGGGCCCCACCCGCUGCAGGGGCCCCACCCGCUGCAGGGGCUCCACCUGUGGCAGAGGCCCCACCCGCUGCAGGGGCCCCACCUGUGGCAGAGGCCCCACCCGCUGCAGAGGACUCUAAGAAGCCACCAGAGAUAACACAGACACCUGAAGAACUGGCAUUUUAUGCCCCGAAUUACAUAUAUUUGACCAUCCUGGCCGUAAUUACUUUCCCUCCCCUGGGAUUACUAGCUGUAUUCUUCAGUUACAAGACCACGCAGGCCAACAAGAACAGCCAAUGGGAAGAUGCUUACAUCAACUCAGGCCGAACUGGUUGGCUGGAUGUAUUCUCCAUACUCAUCGGUUUAGCCAUCAUUUAUGUCUAUGCCCUAUUUAUGUGAAGGCCAGGAAGUAGUCCAUGGGUCCACCCCAAACAGCAUCCAGCCACCAAAACACUAACCAGCCCAAUCAGCUACCAUGCAAGAAACCAACAGCUAAGACAUCUUCUAGCCAAGAAACCUAUCAGCCAAGGAACCCAACAUCCAAGCAACCCACUAGCCCAGGGACAUCAUACCACUUCAUCUUCUUGGCCUCCAGAGCCAUCUUCAUCCACCGUGGGGGUCCUCAUUUUCAUGCCCUGGAUGUGCUUAGCUCCUUGAUACUGGGUUGCUCUUUCAGAAAAAUAUUUACUUAAACCAAUAAAAAUAAAGGGAAUGUUCCAGCUUCUCCACCUGAUCUUAGCCAAAAGGCCAAGAAGUGAUGUUGUUCCAGCUUCUCAUGUGUGUGCAUAUGUAUGUCUGUUUCUGAGUCAGUGUCUGUGUUUUGCUAGGGCUACAUGUUUCCUAUCUCACUUUUUCUAGUAAAACAGUAAUCUCCAGCUUUUGAGAUCCCAAAGUCAAACUGUUAAGGGAAGAAUGGAAAGACUCCAAGAAAUAAACAAUAGAUUUGGUGGUAGAGCUGAUGAAGACCACCUCUCUCCCAGUCCUGAAAGCUGCCACAAACAAUU